AAAUUGAAGAGUUUGAUCAUGGCUCAGAUUUCUGAACGCUGGCGGCAGGCCUACCACAUGCAAAGCCGAACGGUAAAUAUGGUAAGAAGCUUGCCUUUGCUGACGAGUGGCGGACGGGUGAGUAAAUGUCUGGGAACCGCCUGGAGGGGGAUAACUACCGGUGGUGGUUACGCGGUGCCAACGUCGUAGUAAAGACCCGUUGGGACCUCGGCCCGUGCCAUCGGAUGCGCUCCAGAUGGAUUAGCUUAGUAGGUAACGGCUCACCAGGCGGGACGAUCCCUAGCUGGUCUGAGAGGCCGACCAGCCACACUGGAACUGAGACACGUAUCCAGACUCCUACGGUGGAAAGCAGUGGGGAAAUAUUGCACAAUGGGCGUUUCCGCAAGCUUGCCGCGCGUAUGUGUUGAAGGCCUUCGGCUGUAAAAGUACCUCUAAAGCGGGGAGGAAGGGGAGCAGUUAAUACCUUUAUCAUUGACGUUACCUCAGAAGGCGUAGAAGCACCGGCUAACCCUGCGCUUCGCCAGUACAGCCGCGGUAAUACGGAGAGGCGCAAGCGUUAAUCGAAUUAAUACUGGGCGCAGCGCACGGUGCGCUCUUGUUAAGUCAGAUGUGAAACUUGGCCCAACCUCGAACUGCAUCUGAUAAUUGGCAAGUUUGAGUCCUCGCGUAGAGGGGGCAGAAAUCUCCGCGUAGCGGUGAAAUGCGUAGAUCCGAGGAAUACCGGCGGCUGGCACUGACGAAGACUGACGCCUGGUAGGUGCGAAAGCGGGGAGCAACAGGAUUGAAUGAUACACCGUAGUCCACGCCGUAAACGAUGUCGACUUGAGGGUUGCGCCCCUUGAGGCGUAUUUUCCGAGCUAAUCGCAAGCAGCCGACCGUCUGAGUAAUGGGUCGCAAGUAAGCUAAAACUCAAAACGAAUUGACGGGCCUGCACAAGCGGUGGAGCAUGUGGUUUAAUUCGGAUGCAACGCGUGAAGAACCCACCGGUCUCUGACAUCCACGGAAGUUUGUAGAGAUGUAGAAUGUGCCUCGGGAACCGGAUAUGGUGCUGUCGUCAGCUCGUGUUGUGAAAUGUUGGGUUGUUCCAACGAGCGCAACCCCAUCCUAUUGCCAGCUAUCCGGCCGAACUCAAAGGAGACCGCUAAGAUAAACUGAGGAAGGUGGGAUGACGUCAAGUCAUCAUGGCCCCUUACGACCAGCAUAAUAACACGUGCUAAGCAAAUGGCGUGCAUACAAAGAGAAGGACCCGCGAGAGCGCGGACCCUCAUAGCGCGUCGUAGUCCGAUUGAGUCUGGUAACCUGGACUCCAUGAAGUCGGAAUCGCUAUAGUAAUCGUGGAUCGAACGCCACGGUGAAUACGCUGUUCCCGGCCCUACACACCCGCCCACCAAGGAGGCCGCAAAAGAAGUUAGGUAGCUUAACCCUGGAGUGGCGCUUACCACUUUGGUGGAUCUAUGAUCAGUGAAGUCGUAACAACCGUAGGAACCUGCGGUUGAUCACCUCCUACCUUUAAAGAAG
rnacentral:rRNA from 1 species